CAUCUACUCCCUCCGUCUGAAAAUACUCGUCGGGGAAAUAUGUAAAAAUGGAUGUAUCUAGAACUAAAAUGCGUUUAUAUACAUCCAUUUCUCCGACAAGUAUUUCCGGACGGAGGGAGUACAUG
rfam:Triticum aestivum genome assembly, contig: Triticum_aestivum_CS42_TGACv1_scaffold_221350_3B